rnacentral:rRNA from 1 species
CCUACGGGUGGCAGCAGUGAGGAAUAUUGGUCAAUGGGCGCGAGCCUGAACCAGCCAAGUAGCGUGAAGGAUGACUGCCCUACGGGUUGUAAACUUCUUUUAUAAAGGAAUAAAGUGAGGCACGUGUGCCUUUUUGUAUGUACUUUAUGAAUAAGGAUCGGAUAACUCCGUGCCAGCAGCCGCGGUAAAACGGAGGAUCCGAGCGUUACACGGAUUUAUUGGGUUUAAAGGGAGCGUAGAUGGGUUGUUAAGUCAGUUGUGAAAGUUUGCGGCUCAACCGUAAAAUUGCAAUUGAUACUGGCAGCCUUGAGUACAGUUGAGGUAGGCGGAAUUCGUGGUGUAGCGGUGAAAUGCUUAGAUAUCACGAAGAACUCCGAUUGCGAAGGCAGCUUACCAAACUAUAUCUGACGUUGAGGCACGAAAGCGUGGGUAGCAAACAGGAUUAGAUACCCUAGUAGUC